rnacentral:rRNA from 1 species
UACAGAGGGGGCAAGCGUUGUUCGGAAUUACUGGGCGUAAAGCGCGUGUAGGCGGCCGUGCAAGUCGGGUGUGAAAGCCCGAGGCUCAACCUCGGAACUGCCUUCGAUACUGCGGGUCUCGAGUCCGGGAGAGGUGAGUGGAAUUCCUAGUGUAGAGGUGAAAUUCGUAGAUAUUAGGGAAGAACACCAGUGGCGAAGGCGGCUCACUGGCCCGGUACUGACGCUGAGGCGCGAAAGCGUGGGGGAGCAAAC